CAUGACAACCAACAUAAACAAGUUUCAGUAGCUAUAUUUAUCCGUUGGUUUCACAAAACGGGGUGCCAAACCCAAGGAAAGCUGCUGCCAUUGCUUUCUGUGGGGACCAGUACUAUGAAAUAAUUGGAUAUAUUUAACAAAGCAUGGACGAAAGGUUCGAUGCUUGAAUGGAAUCUCCAGAUUCAUGGCAGCGAGGCAGAAUAAAGGUAUUGACGAGGGAGAGGUAUUACAUGGCCAUCCUCUGGGUGUUUCUCCCUUUCCACAUGCCAGGGGUUUAUACCAACCAUCUGUAAUUUUCAUGGGUCGGCAGACUUCCAGAGAGUCCAGGGCUGAAGAUGCCACCAUAAGUGUACACUUACAAGAAGCCGAGCAUCAUUCGCCCCAAUCAUCGCUCACGUGCCUCGGAAUACCGACAAAGUGGCCUUUUUGAAGGACUCCAAAGUUUCUAGAGAGGUUGUUGCCGACAGCGGAGCACAUUUAUCAGAUGACAUUUCGGGCUCAAACGAUUCCCCCGACGGCUGUAAUUUGAGUGACAAACAUGAAAGGAUGGCAGCAGUGGUUCCAUCCAGUUUAACAGCCAGCGCCAGUGUGCCUUUUGGAGGUGAUUAACAAUCUCCUACACCUCGAGUGACCUUGACGAGGCCUGAGAAGAAUAGCCUAUCAUCCCAGCAGUAUCAGCCAUAUGUCUGACAGGAAUUCACCUGCAGAAUACACUCGGUAGAGGGUCUGCCCACCAGGAUAGCAUAAAAAAAGAAGUUGGAGAGAGUCUUGCAAAGAUCACCAACUCAAACUGACUUGGGAAAAUAAUCUCAAGAUGUGCCAGAGAGGAGUGAAGACCUCAGUAUAUCCAGUUCCAGUGGAGCUGUCAGUGACCAGGAGUGGCAGUGACCUGUCAAUCUCCCUGACCGAGUCUGACCUGGCUGAGGUACCAAAGGUGCCACAGAAUGUCGUCUAUGUAGACGGCCAUAGCAGGAGGACAGACAGCCCACCAGAGGAGUGCUACACCCAGGGACAGGGAUCUCCACAGCAUCAGCAUACACAGUCAAGAAUCACUUGACACUCCAGAGCCUAGGAACAGAUCUGAACCAAGUAGAGAAUCCACGUCUUAAGGAAUACCAUUGGAAAGCUCCUGUCUCCCACCUGACGCUGCUCCUCUGUGGGAUCACUGGUUCAAGCACACCCUUCUGCUGAAGGACCACCAUGUCCUCACCACCGAGCGCCUCGUCCAGCUGUUCACUCCACUGCUACUGCCGCACAAUGCCUCCUAUAGCACCAAAGUAUGCAUCUCACAAUACACUAGUACAGUUUCUUUUACAUACAGUACAGACUCCAGGGGUUUGAAUCCCAGUUUUUUUUCCACUUCUGGCUUGUUACUGUAGCAGUCUUCAUGCACUGCAAGCACAUAGGGCUCUAAAGUGCUACCAAUUUGGUUGCAUAUGCUCUAAAAAUGUUGUUUUGCGACCUGGCAUUUUAAUUUGGGAGCACCAGUGCCUUAAAGACAAAAGCGAGCGCAUAUUUGUUAACAUCAUGGUUGUACGGAAGAGUAUUAGGGCCAAGUAAUGAAAAAAAAAAAAGAAUAAGUCUUGGUACCAGUUUAGGUUUUUUGCACAUAUAGUACUUUGAAAACUUGAAAUACAAGGAUAAAGUUGAAACUUUGAGAAUAAAGUUACAAUUAAUUUUUUAGGAUAGUGUAAAUUAAAUGGCAAUAUUUUGAGAAUAAAGUCUAUUUAACUUUACAAAUUAAAUCCAAAUAGUAAAUUAAAUGUUUUAUUUUGAAGACUUUACAUUUUAUUUAGAGAAUGAAGUAAAAAUAUUGAGAAUAAAGUUAACAUUUUGAGAAUUAAGUCGCAAUUAUAUUUCCAGAUUAAGGUAGGGAAUCUGUUUAAUUGCAUAGCUACCUGGCUCCAUGUUGCUGUGCACUGUAAAAAGGCCUUAGAUGACCUGGUAAAACCUAUGGCUUUAGUAACACGGUUUCCACCGACAUAACAUAAUGGCUAAAGCAUCUAUGCAGCAAUUUAUUGCAAUACCAUAUGGUUUCGUUUUGUCAUAUGUGUCCAUAUGCCAUAUCGCCUUGGGACCUUUGGUCGUGUACUGCCGUCAGCGUCGUACGUGCCUAAGCUUCACACCUUGAGGAUCGAUUGACCAGGCCAUCUAACUCAGGCAUUUCAACGGUGGCGUGCACAGCAACAGGGAGCCAGGGAAGGAUGCACUUCACCAAAUCCCCUACUUUAGUCUUGACAUUCAACUGUGACUUUAUUCUCCAAAAUGUUUACUUUAUUCUCUAAAUAUUGCCACUUUAUUCACGAAAUGUUACAACUUUAUUCUCAAAGUAUUUAGAGUUUUUAAAAGUACUGUCUGUGCAACAAUGAAAAAAUGUGAAGUACCACCACCCUCUAUGUAUUUUUCCUCUUCACUUGGCUGUAACAUUACAACAGUGAAAACGGCUUCUAGCCCAAACAGUUCCAAAGACAUGACUCAUAUUACCUGCACAACUUUUUCUUUCUUCCAACGGCAGAUUGGUGGUCCUUAUUUUACAUUCAGAAACCAUGUCGCGGGUCAUUUGUUUACACUUUGUACAGUCAUGUUACCUCUUAGCUAGCUAGCUAACAACCUUGUAACUUUACUAGUAGGCUAUAUCUGAACACUUAGCUAGCUAGCUAGCUAGCUAGCUAACAACCUGGUAACUUUACUAGUAGGCUAUAUCUGAACACUUAGCUA